AUUAUAGGAUGAGGAGACACUGACGCCAGCCCCAGGGAAUUUACAACUACAGGUUGAAUUUGCCACUUCAAGAUUCAACAUGCACAACUGUUCACGACUGGAGGACCAAUGCUUAUUUUGUCCUUUACUGAGUGAUGUCUCAACAUCAACCUUUCCCGAAAUGUCUGAUGUAGGUUGUGAAAAGCUCACCGUGUGUCAGGCAAGGCGGCCUGUGAAAAUAACCAGGAAGAUGUAGCAAAUGGACUGUCUGCUGCAAUUUACAAGGAUGCAAUUAAGGAGAUUAUAGAACCUGCCCAAGAUCACACACACGCACAGUAAGUUAGGAUGCUGACAAGACGGUCUGAGAGUAGCGCUUUAUGCUCCAAGUUGAGAUAUUACAGUCUCUCUGGCGACCCGUUACUGUGUUUCCAUCUUUAAUAUUAUAGCCAUUUCUUUAUUCCAAAUUUUAACUCAUAUAAAUUCUUUACAUCGUAUGUACUGAGGAUAACUAUACACAAAAUCUAAAAUACACACUAAACAUUCACAUACGACACAUAAAUGCAUAAUUCAAUUAAAGACAAAUUUGGCAAACUUGAUGAAUCUGGUACUGGCCCUGAUCCACCCAUGUCAGCCAGCCUUCACCGUUUCCAUGAGUGGAGACCCUGUCUCCAGUCCGUUACCCUGUGUGUCUUUACUUGGAAGCAUUCCUUUUUGGCUACAGCAUUCUACCUAAGCACCUCCCAGGAGCAGUCCUCUAGCGUGCAUCUUCAGAGCUGAUGGAUGAACAGCCUGACCCCUUUACUUCUCGGACUAUGGAGAGUGUGUUUGAGGUACACAGUCUUUGUCACAUGCCGCAGAACCCCCUUACUCUGGGCUCAGUCACCCGCUAUUGCUUCCUAUUCUUCUCUAUCUAAUUCACCCCUUCCCUUGGAAAAGACUCGUGGAAUCAUCUCUGAAAUAAAUGCUGUGCAUCCAAA